AUAUAAUUUUUAUUAAAAUGUGUGCAUAGAUAUAUUUAUUUAUGUAUUUCUUUAUUUAUAAAAAGUUUUUCCAAGGGAUACAAUUCAACCUAUCACAAUGCUUAAUGCGUUCAUCAACUGGAAUUUUAUUUAUUUGGAUGUGUGGUGGGAGAGAAGGUAUCAUUUUUUUCCCCCAGAUGGUUCGCCAGUUGUCUCUACACCGCUUACCAAAUAAUGCUUCCUCUUCCACCAGGAUUGUGGCAUGGACUUCAUCAGACACUAGAUCCUUGCACACUAGCUUCUGCUUGGGAGCGUGACCCACGGGGGCAUCCGCCAAUUCUUGCAUCAGGGCUACGCUAUUUUCACAAUUUUAGCUUCAUUGUCUAUUUAAUAUCUGAUGAAGCAAAAUUCCUCCUUCGCUCCUUUUCACGUUUGUUCUUAGCCAUUCCUGCCUGUGUAUUUAUUCUGAGUAAACUUUAGAAUAACUGUGGCAUGUUUAACAAGAACAAAACAACAACCUCCUUGGACAUUUAAUUGGAUGGUGUUAAAUCAACAAGUUGACGCUAUAGCACAUUCACUCUUGCCGUUUAGAAACAUAGCAUGUCUUUCUAUCUAAUUAAUUAUAGCGUGUGUUUUGGAAAGUUCACAGAGUUUUAAGAUGUAGUUUUCCCGUUUCCCAUGUUUGCUGCUAAAGUCAAUCCUGAGCAUUUUGUUACCGUUAUUACUGUUGUAAUUAUGCUCUCUACCCCCUGCCACCCCCCCCACUUUAUUUUCUAAUUGGUUGUUGCUAGUUGAUGAGGAAGCUAUUGAAUUUUGCAUGCAGCCACUUUAUUAAAUUCGCCUGUUAGUUCUAAUAGCAUUUCAAUUUAUUCUUGUAGGCUCUCUGGAGCCUUUUGCACAAACCAAUUCAAAUGAAUAAUUAACUCUCUAGCUGAAUCAAUGACCUUCCCUAAAUCAAGUCUCUUAUAAAUUUAGGAGUUUGGCUGAAGGAGAAUGAAUGCUGUGUAAGGGCGAUGUGAACAGGGGCCUUGGACAGUUCUGGUAGCCUCAAGAAUGCUUAUAUUCUGUAAUUUCCAAUUUCAGUGCUCAAAUCUGGGCAAAAAAAAAAAAUUGACUAGAACUGUGGACAAAAGCAUUUAGGUAUCAAGACGUGUAUUCUGAUGUUUUUUAUUUAUAACAAUGAAAAUUGGAGACGACCUAAAUUCCUAACAUGAGUGAUCGGCUAGGUCAGUGUUUUGUCCCUGGAUCCUCUCCUUCUACCCGCUCCAUGUAGACCUCUCCCUCAGACUGCAGCCUGAGAAACCUUGCUGCCUGUGGGAGGCUCUGCUUCCAUUCCAGAGUCCCUCUCUAACUCUUCCUGGCCCAGUCAGAGCUCAGCCUCUUCCUUCUCCGCCUCCGUGCGCUGGUGGGACACAUCCUGACAGAGGUUUGUGUCUAGUUACAGGGAAGGAUUGGGAGCAGCAUCCCUAUGGGAGCGGGAGCGAGGGAAGAGGAACCGACCAGAGGAGAAGUUGAACUGAGGCAUAGCUACAACAGAAUCAUCAGCUGAUCCCAGGGGGAGAUCUCCGGCGGGGAUGGCCCUUCCGAGUUGUCCUGAAGAGAGGCAGUUCCCCGAGAGGCCCUUGACCAUGGAGAGUUCCUGCGACUGUGGCCACCACACUAAGACCGAGCCGUCUUCCACCUCCUGGAGUCUCUCUGGAUGGCCAACGUGAGCUGCCAGGGAAAAGUCACAGGCAAACAGGGCUCCCUGGCUGCCCAGGAGAAUGGCCAACAGGAUGGAACUAGGGCUGCAGAGGAAGGACCUUGGACAAGACCCUGUAUCCUUUUUGCAGCAUCCUGGAUGGCCAGCUGUGGGGCAAGCUGCUCGCCUGGGCAAGCUUGCCGGGCAAGCAAGCCGGGGUGGGGGCUUGUGAAGUUGGCAACAGGCUGUAGUGCUGGAGGAGGAGGAGGAGGAAGAAGAAGAGAUCCUGGUGAGGACACAGUCACAGAUGUGGUCUGCGAACCAGGAAGCAGGUGCUCACCAGACAUGGAAGCUGCUGGCACCUUGAUCUUGAAGCUCCAGCCUCCGGAACUGUGAGAAACUCUGCAAAAGACCUGCCUUUGAAGGUUGGACGUGGUCAGACGCUGCCAGCUGUUUGGGAGAUGUGAGCUCAGCCUCGGCGGGAGAGCAAGAGAAUGCCCGAGGAUGGGAAAGGUUCUGGAAGGAUACUUGAAGAACAUACCCUUCCACUCUGACCCUGGGAGCCACCUCACCGAGAAGGGAACGACAUUUCCAGGCCUCUGCUCCGAGACCCCUGUUACUGCGGGCUGCCUUCCAGACCACUUCGGGGAGCUACUAAGGCUCGUGCCUACUCAGAAACAAGACAUCUCAGACAGUCCCAGAUGGCCACCAAGGGGCAAACCCAUUGUCCCCAAGCCCCUGCUACCCACCUCAGGCAGGCAGGGACUGGAGAGGUCACGGUAUUGGUACCUUUCUAGGUCCUUGGGGAUGAGUGCAGAGGAAAGUCUUGUAAGAGACCAUGCUGGACUUCUAAGCAAUGUGGGCCCCAAAUCCUUCUAUGUUUAAGUUGGUUUGCGUUGGGUUUCCGUCACUUGCAACUACAGGAGUCUUCACGGGUACAGAGGCCAGCCACUUCCCGAGUUGCCAAGUGACCCAUUUAGGCCGUUCCCGCCUUAUCCGAUACCCGCCCCCAGCUGUGGUUUCUCCUCAUUCUGCAGCUCUGUCUCCCUUUCCUCCACCACUUAAACGAGUACUCAGGAAAAGGACUGGCCGCUGUCAACUAUACUUUGAAAUUGCCCAUGGAAGUGAUUAUUGGAUGGGCCAGCCCCCCACCCCCACCUCCAGUCCUCCCUGGGUUGGAACUGUCACGUUCUAGCUGCACCGCAGAGACGAUUGUGCUCUGCGCCCGGAACAAGAGGAGUCCUGUCUUUCCCAGGGUCGAUGCACCUGCUUGGGUCUGCUGUUAGGCCGCACGUUGUUUGUUUGCUUACAGCUUUGUUGUUGUUGUUGUCGUUCUUUUUUGCUUAAAAAACAAUUUGGCGCUUCUCAAGGCUGAUUUGCAGACCCACAGAAUGUGCUCAUUUUGCCAGCUCUGUGCUUUGGGGGAAUCCUUUAGCCUGAAUAACUGGCGGCCGGCUGUGGCCAAGCCCGGGCAGAGCUGAACCCAGUGGGGGUUGGAGGCCAGCCAGGCCGUGGCCUGUCACCCACAAUAGCUCUUCUAAAGCCCCUCCACAAAGGGUGACACAGAACAAAGACCAGGGGGCAAAGUUAAUUUAUUUGGAUUUUUUUUUUUUUUAACAACCAAAAAAAUUUUUUGAAGUUACAAAAAAAAGACAAUCAUUUACAUUUUAGAACUUUUACACUCUGAGAAUAAGCCACAGUGCCCGGUUUUGGUGAAUGAAAGGCUUAAAAGAUCCCAGCCUGACUGGGUGGUAGUGAUUAUCUAGGUCGUAUUCUCCAGAACGGGCCUUACUCUGUCCAUCUCAUGAAUCGCUCUGCUCUGGAACUUUCAACUCUUAACCCUUUCGAUAUCAAACUUCUUUGCCGCAGAAGGCCUCUUCCAGGUGUCCCUUUCCCUCUCGUCUGUCCUUUGUCUGCCUUUCUUUGUAACUGGCUGCACUUGCCUUCACCCUGGUGUCUCAGCGCCAACAAAACAGCCUCCACCCUCCAGGCAAUUCACAUCCCUCACCUCCUGCAAAGUUGCCUCCAGCUCCUCGCUCCCAGCAAUCACUCCUUGUCUCCCUUGCCCAGUGCCUAUUUGUACCUCCGGGGAGCACGACCUGGCUGCGGGGACACUCUGGGGAGCCAGAGGACCUGAGCUCUAGUCUUGGCCCAGCUACCUAUCAGCUGUUAUGGUCUCAGGCAUGUUCUCAUUUUUAAAUUGUCAGCCAAGCUGCUUCAAAGGGAUGUGGCUACACGGUAAUUAAUGCUGCCGGGCCCUGAAAAGCAAAAAUGCUACCAAGUGCAAGCAGGGUUAGCCAGUGGGCCCCUGAGGACUGCCACCCUCCGCCCAGCAUUUCCCACCUGCUCAGGAGCUCGCUCUUUUAGCAGCUUGGUUACCAUGGUGAAAGGCCAGCCUUAGCGCUGCUGUGUAAAGUUUUUACCAUCGGGAAUGCAAGGUCCCUGAGGGCAAGACUGGAUUUUAACGUUUACUUGGUGAGCUUCUCUAGCCCAUAGCACCAAUCAGGGCUGAGCGCGAAGUAGGUGCUCAGUCUGAACGUUGAUAGCUUUGAUUCGAAUUUCCUUGGACAGAGCCACCCCCGGUCACGUGAUGGCCUCAUAACAGUGGCAGGACGGUGGAAAACCCAAGCCUCCUUGUUCAUUCAUCCCACCAACCAUGACCUCUAGUGGGAAAGGCGCUCCUGGCAGCCCGGCCCGGGAGUCCUGGCACUCAGCAUUGCUGGCCCAAGUUUUGGGACCACCCGCCAAAGCCCACAGACCUUCCCACUGGAAUAAAAAUCCACACCAAAUGGGUAGGAAACAUGGUCGUGCUUUGGGUGGGCCAGUCUGAUGAGAACCACAAUUUGGCAUGCAAAUCCCAAGUAGGGGUACUGCCAUGUAAUAAAUCCAGUGUGGGAUCAUCCCCAGACCAUUCCAAGGGCCAUUCCAAGGACCCCUGCUCUGGGGAUCAUGGUCUCCAGUGAGGGAUCCUCACUCCCUGAUAAGAAAGACCUCUCUCUCGCAAUUGGAGAAGGCCAGAGCUCACAACUGUCCCAAUAGACAGUCCCCAGCCUCCCUCCAUAGGUGGCUGCCAAAACCCCACAACCCCCCCCUCCCAAAGGAGUCAUCUCCUUUGUUAUUUUCCAGAAAACCACACUAAGUGGCUGCAGAGAUGAGAAAAUGACUCCACCCCAUCCGAAGAGCCCAUCACACAAAUGUAAUUCAGAAAAUACAUUCUGAUCCUUCCCCUUCCCACUAACACGUUCCCCCACCUCCAGGUGCACACAUCUAUAUAUCACACUUGACAAAAUUCAUCUUCUUUUUGGAAGAACCUGGUCCUUGGAGAUCUGCUCAGGGCAAUGCCAUUGCAAACACUGUAAUUUCACAUCAGUCACGGUAGAAACAAAACCAGUUACCAAAGAACUAACUUGAGAGCCCUCAAGUCACAUAGAAAUGGGUUUGCCUUAGCCAGGCCCACCAGCGGGGCUGGAAGCAGCAUCCCUAGCCCUGGCUGGCCCCAAAGAGCCUGGAAAAGCUGCUGUUUUGCUUCGGAUCCAUCCAGGAUAAAACGCAGAAUAAAUAAUGUGUUGCUUGGGAGUUUGCAGCUAUGUGGAUGUAACCGUCAUGGUGUUCUCAGAAUUCUCAGACAGAACCUCGCUUGAUGGUCCAAAGGCUCAGCGGGUGCCUCCUGAAAUCACCCCAGGUCACGCUGAAGCAUGCGGUGAGAGGGGAGGUGGCACAGGAAGGAAGGCUUUUGUGAGAUCCUCAGGUCCGGUUCAUUGCCGGGUGGGUCUCCCUUCCCGGUGAGCACAGAAUCAUGCAUUCUAUCUUUGGUUUCGUGCCUUGAAGGCUUAUGCCUUUGGAAGAGUGGCUCAAAGGUGUGAGAGACUAAUGGCCUGGGGCCUGGAUAAAGGACACCCACACAGGCUCUCUGCUGAAGACACCUGGGAGCCAUGGGUUCUCUCCUCGACUUUGGGACGAGAGGUCUUCCAGGCCUCAGCACCCAGGGCUGAGGUCCAGCCGCCAAAGCAUGUCCUGUAGAGAAGCCUGCAGCCUGCUCAGGGCCACCACCUCCGUGGAGUAGAGUGAGGCUUCCAGGGCACCGCCCAGGCUCUCGAGGGUCUCCAGGCCCCUGGCCCGGGGCAAGGGACAGUUCUUGGAGGAAGCCAGCAGGUGGAGAAGGUCCCGGAGGUUCUCUAGGUCAUUAGAUAUUUGGACCACGUUUCUAGAAGGCAGACCGGUGAGGAUCUGUUGGUAGAUGGCCAAUGUCUGGUCCAUCUUGGACAAACUCAGGACAGGGUGGAGCCCAGGAAUGAAGUCAAGACCAGCGACUCUCUGUUUGGAGGAGACAGACUGCUGUGCGAGAGGAAAAGGGAGAGCAGGGGCUCAGAGAAGUUGGUUCUGCAAGGCUCUCGCCUUUCCCAUGAAUGUGGAGGCCCGCUCUCUUGGCUGCCUCCUCUCCCCUUCCUCACCGCCCUGGCCCAGGCCCUUGAUUCUUGUGCCCCGGUGACUGCCAAGCUUCCAAGCUGAUCUCCUGGACUUCUAUCUUCCUGUCCUUCCCGAAUCACCCUGCCCUCCCCUUCCAGAUGGAUCUUUGAAGAUCGUUCCCUCCUCCAAAUGACCUCUGCUGUAGAACCAGCCAUGAGGCCUGAUUCCUGCUUAGUUAAGUCUCUUCCCCAGGCACUGAGGUCCUCCCUGAGUGCCCCUUCCCUAGCCUCACACCCUUCCACUCCCAGAGGACUCCUCCUUCCCAGUCAGGUCCUCCAAGGCCUCUGGCCCCUCAGGGAUCAAGGCCGGCCCUGCCUCACUCCUCUGCUCCAAUAACGCUGGAUACCAGGAGGGGGUGGCCUGCAGCCCUCACUUUCUGCGCCACCCAAACUGGGACACCCUGGAUCUACCCCGUGUGGCCUUGUCGGAUAGCUACCGUGAAAGCAGGGACACUCACACGCUGCUCUCCAUAAAAUGCCCAAGACUCUGGUUCUGAGCUGUCCGAGGCCACUGUUAGACAUGUAUGGUGUCCAGGAGAUGUGGAAGUCUCUAGAUUGCCCCAUGCUGGGUAAGCAAGCAGGCUUUUAAGACUGGGGGCUACCAAACCCACAACGAAAAACCUUUAAAGAAGGCACACUGUGGUCUGGUUCUAUGAGAGGGUUUAUCUAGUUGGGUGAGGACUGUACUAGCUAGCUGAUGAAACCAAGCCUUAAAGACAUGGAGGAACUAGCUUAAGGUUUUACAGAUAGAGAACCAAAGUGUGGAGAUUCACAUUUAGUCUUCCUAAUUCUAAAUACAGCCCGCAUGUAGGAAGCGGCUGUUUGUGAGGUAGGGAGGAGUCAAGGCCACCAUGGCCCCUGCAUGUGGCUGCACAGGCUUCAGCUGACAUCUGAGGUCCUGGUUCCCCCAUGGGCAAACCUAUUGUCUUCCCAGGCUCUCCCUACCGUGUGUGAAAUGUCAUUGAUCCUGGUGACAAUCGUCUUGAUGAGGGUUUUGGUGUCAUCCUGGACUUUUCGGAUUGGCACAGCUUCAACAUAGGACAGAUAGGGCCAAAGCCACAGGAAUCGGCACAAGGGUCCACAAAGCAUUUUCCUUCCCAGGAUGUACGUCUCGGGCCUGCAAACAGAAGGAGCCACACGUAGCAAGUCGCUGGUGAUCUCAGAAAACACCCAUAUGCCCUGUGACCAACCAUAUUUUCAGACGUGGAUAAAAAGGAGACUCGCUUUGUGCCAUAGUGAUCAUCUCCUCAGAGUCAAAGACAAUUCAUUAUCUAGAAGUACAUUAAUGAAAUGCAUUUCCUUGGGGAGGCAAGACCUGACCAACUCUGUGAUGCGGUGUGGGAUAGAUCACAGAGCAGUAAGCCAGGGCCUGAGCAAAUGGACGUGGUGGUGACGAUUCGACUUGAUUGCAUGCUGCGAGGAAAAGAACCAGCUUUUAUGGUCUGGUCUGAAUCCAGCCAUUUAAUAGCUGCAUGACUUUAAGCACAUCACAUAACCACGAAAACCUCCACCUCCAUCUCCUGCAAUAUACCUACCUCGAGGCUUUUAUGAGGAUCAAAUUAGAUAAUGCAUGUGCAAGAGCUUUAAAGGUGUUGUGAAAUGUACUCUAUUACUGCCCUUAUUACUAGAGAUUACGUUACUUGUCCUCUCCAUUACUCUCCCACAGCGGCCUGCUGAUAUCUCUGUGAUGGCAUUUCUCACUGGCUUUAUAACUUCCUUUCUCUCCCACUGGGAGCCUGAACCCACCCGGCACUGGUGGAAGGUCUUCAAAUGUGUCGGAUACAGCACCGAGCACCAAGGAUACAGUGGUGAAUAAUAGAUGUUCUCUACUCUCAGGUGGCUUAUGCUUUAAUAGGAGAGAUAAACAGGGAAGCAGUCCAUUCCAAUACAGGCAGAACAAACCGUACAAGAAGGACAAGUGCAAGAUAUCACAGGAGUACAAAGGGAGCUCCCUGGAAGAGGUGUCACCUGAGCUGGGUAUUAAAGACCGAGCGGCUGUCAGUAAGAGUGGACAGUGGUGGGCACAGUGGCCAGAAAACAGCUGGUGGAGGCAGGAGAGACUAUCUAACAUGUUCGUCCAGAAUGUUUGACACUUUCAAAGUCAUGGAACAAUGAAUUCUAAUAUUAAUAAUAUGCAGAUCCUUGAAUAAGCAGCAGUUUUAAGGAGACACGAAAGACAAAAGGUAAUAAAGUGAAAUGUAUGCGA